rnacentral:rRNA from 1 species
UACGGAGGAUCCGAGCGUUAUCCGGAUUUAUUGGGUUUAAAGGGUGCGUAGGCGGCCUUGUAAGUCAGGGGGGAAAGACGGUAGCUUAACUAUCGCAGUGCCUUUGAUACUGCAGGGCUUGAAUGUACUUGAGGUAGGCGGAAUGUGACAAGUAGCGGUGAAAUGCAUAGAUAUGUCACAGAACACCAAUUGCGAAGGCAGCUUACUAAAGUAUGAUUGACGCUGAGGCACGAAAGCGUGGGGAUCAAACAGG